rnacentral:misc_RNA from 1 species
GAUGAAGAACGUAGCGAAAUGCGAUAAGUAGUGUGAAUUGCAGAAUUCAGUGAAUCAUCGAAUCUUUGAACGCACAUUGCGCCCCUUGGUAUCCCGAGGGGCAUGCCUGUUCGAGCGUCAUUUCACCACUCAAGCCUGGCUUGGUGUUUGGCGACGUCCUCUUUGGGGACGCGCCUCGAAACGCUCGGCGGCGUGGCACCGGCUUUAAGCGUAGCAGAAUCUUUCGCUUUGGAAGUCGGGGCCCCGUCUGCCGGAAGACCUGCUCGCAAGGUUGACCUCGGAUCAGGCAGGGAUACCCGCUGAACUUAAGCAUAUCAAUAAGCGGAGGA